rnacentral:rRNA from 1 species
CCAGCAAUGCCGCGUGUGUGAAGAAGGCCUUCGGGUUGUAAAGCACUUUUGUCCGGAAAGAAAUCCUUGGUUCUAAUAUAGCCGGGGGAUGACGGUACCGGAAGAAUAAGCACCGGCUAACUACGUGCCAGCAGCCGCGGUAAUACGUAGGGUGCAAGCGUUAAUCGGAAUUACUGGGCGUAAAGCGUGCGCAGGCGGUUUGCUAAGACCGAUGUGAAAUCCCCGGGCUCAACCUGGGAACUGCAUUGGUGACUGGCAGGCUAGAGUAUGGCAGAGGGGGGUAGAAUUCCACGUGUAGCAGUGAAAUGCGUAGAGAUGUGGAGGAAUACCGAUGGCGAAGGCAGCCCCCUGGGCCAAUACUGACGCUCAUGCACGAAAGCGUGGGGAGCAAACAGGAUUAGAUACCCUGGUAGUCCACGCCCUAAACGAUGUCAACUAGUUGUUGGGGAUUCAUUUCCUUAGUAACGUAGCUAACGCGUGAAGUUGACCGCCUGGGGAGUACGGUCGCAAGAUU